GAGAUAUUAGUCAAUUCAUUACAUAUCUUUGUCAAAGUUAAAUUAUAGAGUCACAUCUAUAUAUCUUA
rnacentral:tRNA from 1 species